AUUGUUACUUUGGCAGAGUAGUGUGUUUGAUUUAGAAUCAUUUUAAGUAAGUUUUUACAAGUAAUAU
rnacentral:tRNA from 1 species